GCAUAUCAAUAAGCGGAGGAAAAGAAACCAACAGGGAUUSCCCUAGUAACGGCGAGUGAAGCGGCAACAGCUCAAAUUUGAAAUCUGGCGCAAGCCCGAGUUGUAAUUUGUAGAGGAUGCUUCUGGCCAGCGGCCGUUCUAAGUUCCUUGGAACAGGACGUCAUAGAGGGUGAGAAUCCCGUAUGUGACCGGCGCGCAGCCUUUACGUAGCUCCUUCGACGAGUCGAGUUGUUUGGGAAUGCAGCUCUAAAUGGGAGGUAAAUUUCUUCUAAAGCUAAAUACCGGCCAGAGACCGAUAGCGCACAAGUAGAGUGAUCGAAAGAUGAAAAGCACUUUGGAAAGAGAGUUAAAAAGCACGUGAAAUUGUUGAAAGGGAAGCGCUUGCAACCAGACUUCGUAGCGAUGUUCCGCCGGUCUUCUGACCGGUCUACUCAUCGUCGCGAGGCCAACAUCGUCUGGGGCCGCCGGAUAAGACCUAAGGAAUGUAGCUUCCCUCGGGAAGUGUUAUAGCCUUUGGUGAUGCGGCGCGUCUCGGGCGAGGUCCGCGCUUCGGCAAGGAUKUGGC
rnacentral:rRNA from 1 species